rnacentral:rRNA from 1 species
GACGAACGCUGGCGGCGUGCUUAACACAUGCAAGUCGAACGGAAAGGCCCUGCUUUUGUGGGGUGCUCGAGUGGCGAACGGGUGAGUAACACGUGAGUAACCUGCCCUUGACUUUGGGAUAACUUCAGGAAACUGGGGCUAAUACCGGAUAGGAGCUCCUGCUGCAUGGUGGGGGUUGGAAAGUUUCGGCGGUUGGGGAUGGACUCGCGGCUUAUCAGCUUGUUGGUGGGGUAGUGGCUUACCAAGGCUUUGACGGGUAGCCGGCCUGAGAGGGUGACCGGCCACCUUGGGACUGAGAUGCGGCCCAGACUCCUACGGGAGGGAGCAGUGGGGAAUAUUGCACGAUGGGCGGAAGCCUGAUGCAGCAACGCCGCGUGCGGGAUGACGGCCUUCGGGGUGUAAACCGAUUUCGCCUGUGACGAAGCGUGAGUGACGGUAAUGGGUAAAGAAGCACCGGCUAACUACGUG